UACGGAGGGUGCAAGCGUUUAUCCGGAUUCACUGGGUUUAAAGGGUGCGUAGGAGGGCAGGUAAGUCAGUGGUGAAAUCUUCGAGCUUAACUCGGAAACUGCCGUUGAUACUAUCUGUCUUGAAUACCGUGGAGAUGAGCGGAAUAUGUCAUGUAGCGGUGAAAUGCUUAGAUAUGACAUAGAACACCAAAUUGCGAAGGCAGCUCGUUACACGAAUAUUGACUCUGAGGCACGAAAAGCGUGGGGGAUCAAACAGG
rnacentral:rRNA from 1 species